UUGUGUUUUAGACAUCUAGACUUCAUAAUAUGGUUUUUCUGAUUAAUCUUGGGAAUAAGCUGAAACUGCUUAACUGUCCCCGCAACUGUGAAGUGCAUUUAAAUGCACGAAGUCAGAUACCAAGGUCAGAAAAAUCCUCUUGAG
rnacentral:ncRNA from 1 species